AUUAAACUGACGGAAAAACUUGUUUGGACCUGUUCAUGUAUUUGAUAUUACUCAAGAAUUGUCUCUGUGCAACGGUGUGGUGUUUCUUAACAACUGAAUUGAAAAUGAGUCCACGGGAGCACUGCAACGACCGCAGAAUUUUUGCAAGAACAUUUCGUUUUAAGAAGAACUAUCGCUAUAAAUAUUUUCAUUUGAUUGAAGGCAAUGGCGUUAACCACGAAAGGAGAUUUGGUCAUAUUGAUAGGGUAUCCAUCCAAACAUGUUGGGUGUUAAAAGUUUCAACGCAUAGUCCGAAGCAACCCUUUCCACAGUAGUCACCAUGACAGGUGACCACCUGGUGGCGCCCGUGUGCCAAGAGCCGUUGGACGAUCAGGAGAAGAAGAUUUGGAUCGACGGAUGUGACGUCAGAUCUUUAGGUAAAUUGAAGACAGGUGUGCUCAAGGGGAGUUAUCAAAUGCAGGUGCCACCGAGCGCGUGGCGGCGGGCGGUUUCUCAGGAUUUUCACGCUCAGUUCUCAAAUGCAGGUGCCACCGAGUGCGUGGCAUUUUCUUAGGAUUUUCACACUCGCCACGGGGACUGUAGGCGUCGAAGUUAACUGGAUGCUGCAGGGAGAGUUUUCAAAUACGCCCCAACAAUGUGUGGUUUGUUGCCUUUUCUCACAAGCUUUUAUUUUGUUUGUUUGUUGCAGGAUUGUCGUACUCUCGUGACUCGGCAACGUCACGUCCACCGCGACGGUGGGCCUGGAGGAUUUUCGCUGAGUGUUUGAGGUUUGGGCCCGGCACGCCACAAUCGACUUUGCGUCGCGUCGUUGCGCGUUUUGGUCGUUUUGCCCCUACGGUAUUCCAAAUGUCUUUCGCGUUUUUUUUCUUUUUAAUGUUUGCCAGCAUUUUUUCAUUCGUCUGUUUGUCGAAGGUUCGUAAAUGACGCCGCCGAUAAGCGCGUGUUUGUCUAACUAUAGGAAAUGCUAGUUUGACUCAAGUCAAUUAAACAAUUCUUUAUAAUUUUAUAUUAUGCGUGUGCCAUUUCCGUGUUAUGAAAACUGAUGAAUAUGACAAUUUGUUACGUCAUGUCCAAAUCAGACCAAAUCUAUUAAAGGACUGCAUCGUUCCGUUACGCAACAAACAUUUGCGCGGGUUAUUUUCCCCCGUUUUGGACGCCGCAAACCUGGAUCAUCUGUCCAAUGUGAGGUGAGUUGAUGGAUGAUAAAAUUAAAAUAUGAAUUAUA